rnacentral:rRNA from 1 species
AGUGAACGCUGGCGGUAGGCCUAACACAUGCAAGUCGAACGGCAGCACAGUAAGAGCUUGCUCUUACGGGUGGCGAGUGGCGGACGGGUGAGGAAUACAUCGGAAUCUACUUUUUCGUGGGGGAUAACGUAGGGAAACUUACGAUAAUACCGCAUACGACCUACGGGUGAAAGCAGGGGAUCUUCGGACCUUGCGCGAUUGAAUGAGCCGAUGUCGGAUUAGCUAGUUGGCGGGGUAAAGGCCCACCAAGGCGACGAUCCGUAGCUGGUCUGAGAGCAUGAUCAGCCACACUGGAACUGAGACACGGUCCAGACUCCUACGGGAGGCAGCAGUGGGGAAUAUUGGACAAUGGGCGCAAGCCUGACCCAGCCAUGCCGCGUGGGUGAAGAAGGUCUUCGGGUUGUAAAGCCCUUUUGUUGGGAAAGAAAAACAGCGGGUUAAUACCCCGCUGUUCUGACGGUACCCAAAGAAUAAGCACCGGCUAACUUCGUG